GGUUAAGUGACUAAGCGUACACGGUGGAUGCCUUGGCAGUCAGAGGCGAUGAAAGACGUAGUAACUUGCGAUAAGCCCAGAUUAGGUAGUAACAACCAUUUGAGUCUGGGAUUUCUGAAUGGGGAAACCCACGUGCAUAAGCACGUAUCCUUACCUGAAUACAUAGGGUAAGGAGGCGAACCGGGGGAACUGAAACAUCUAAGUACCCCGAGGAAAAGAAAUCAACCGAGAUUCCGAAAGUAGCGGCGAGCGAAAUUGGACUAGCCCUUAAGCUUUACACGCGUUAGACGAACGGUCUGGAAAGUCCGACGAUACAGGGUGAUAGUCCCGUAGUUGACGACGUGUGUUCAGUGAAAUCGAGUAGGGCGGGACACGUGAUAUCCUGUCUGAAUAUGGGGGGACCAUCCUCCAAGGCUAAAUACUACUGACUGACCGAUAGUGAACCAGUACCGUGAGGGAAAGGCGAAAAGAACCCCUGUGAGGGGAGUGAAAUAGAACCUGAAACCGUGUACGUACAAGCAGUAGGAGCAGGCUUUGUCCUGUGACUGCGUACCUUUUGUAUAAUGGGUCAGCGACUUAUAUUCAGUGGCAAGGUUAACCAUCUAGGGGAGCCGUAGGGAAACCGAGUCUUAACUGGGCGUUCAGUCUCUGGAUAUAGACCCGAAACCAGGUGAUCUAGCCAUGGGCAGGUUGAAGGUUGAGUAACAUCAACUGGAGGACCGAACCGACUAAUGUUGAAAAAUUAGCGGAUGACUUGUGGCUAGGGGUGAAAGGCCAAUCAAACCUGGAGAUAGCUGGUUCUCCCCGAAAGCUAUUUAGGUAGCGCCUCGGACGAAUACUACUGGGGGUAGAGCACUGUUAAGGCUAGGGGGUCAUCCCGACUUACCAACCCUUUGCAAACUCCGAAUACCAGUAAGUACUAUCCGGGAGACACACGGCGGGUGCUAACGUCCGUCGUGGAGAGGGAAACAACCCAGACCGCCAGCUAAGGUCCCAAAUUACUACUAAGUGGGAAACGAUGUGGGAAGGCUCAGACAGCCAGGAUGUUGGCUUAGAAGCAGCCAUCAUUUAAAGAAAGCGUAAUAGCUCACUGGUCGAGUCGGCCUGCGCGGAAGAUGUAACGGGGCUAAGUAGUAAACCGAAGCUGCGGCAAUGUGCUUUUGCACAUUGGGUAGGGGAGCGUUCUGUAAGCGGUUGAAGGUGUGUGGUAACGCAUGCUGGACGUAUCAGAAGUGCGAAUGCUGACAUGAGUAACGAUAAAGGGGGUGAAAAACCUCCUCGCCGGAAGACCAAGGGUUCCUGUCCAACGUUAAUCGGGGCAGGGUAAGUCGACCCCUAAGGCGAGGCCGAAAGGCGUAGUCGAUGGGAAACGGGUUAAUAUUCCCGUACUUCUUACAAUUGCGAUGGGGGGACGGAGAAGGCUAGGUGGGCCUGGCGACGGUUGUCCAGGUUCAAGUGCGUAGGCUUAAGAGUUAGGUAAAUCCGGCUCUUUCUAAGGCUGAGACACGACGUCGAGCACCUACGGGUGUGAAGUCAUUGAUGCCAUGCUUCCAGGAAAAGCCUCUAAGCUUCAGAUUGUAAGGAAUCGUACCCCAAACCGACACAGGUGGUCGGGUAGAGAAUACCAAGGCGCUUGAGAGAACUCGGGUGAAGGAACUAGGCAAAAUGGUACCGUAA
rnacentral:rRNA from 1 species